CCGUGGCUGCCCUCCAUUGUUGCAUACGUGCAAUACUACACAAAGUCCAGGAGAUGUCAUUCACUGGAGUCCAUGGAUCUUCUCUCUUAAUUGCUGAUGAGCAGGUCCAGAAUGUUACAGAGGCUGUCAAGGAAAUUCUGGCCCCUUUCACUGGUGUCACAGUAGGCGAUGGAGAACAUGCUCUCAAAGAGCUUCACCACUCGAUCGCUGAUGCUGCAUAUGCAGAGCUUCUUCGGAGAAUUGGUUCUGAAAGUAAGCUGAUUGAAGCUGUAAAAGCUCAGAGUCAGCUGUUGACAGGAUCUCUGGCAGUCUCCAUCAUCAGGGCAAUUAAGAAGGCAGACGCUAAGGACUUGUACUGUUCUGUGUCAGUUCAAUCUGGUUCCUCUCCCUCUAUCACAGAGGAAUCUUUGGUCUCCAGCCAGAUUGUUGACAAUGCAUUGUUAGCAAGCCAGGCCUCAAGCAGAGGCUUGAUUAAGUCAGACAGAAAGGUUCAUGCCAGCCUGGCAACCCUGGCACAGUCAGGAGCAUCUUCAUCAACUGCAGUGCCUGAAACAGAGGGGACAAAGAACGUAAACGAAAGCAGCGCAAGAGCCUAUUCUUCCAUCUCAAUUUGCCAAAAAUCAACAUCUUCAAAAAGAGAUCCAAAAAGGACAAUAAUGCCAGAUCUUAUACUUCAGAUCAGGACUGUUUUCAGAGUCGUUGCACUGCUGAUAUGACAGGUGGAGCCAACGGUGAGACUUCAAAAAGGGAGAAGCCUUGGAGACCUUCCAUUUUCACCAGGAUGUUCUCCUGCUUUAGGAAAUGAACUGCCUCAUCCCUCUUUAAGUUUCUUUAUCUACCCCAUCAUCAUCAUCAUCAUCUUCACCUCUCUUCAUGCUCCCAUUAGACUGAAUCCUGCCAGAAAACAAAAUCACUUAUCACAGUCAUCCUGACGACACCCAGGUUUACUUCACACUCUCACCAAAUGACCUUGGUCCCACAGAUACUGUGUGUCAGUGCUCAGCGCAAAUCCGGAGUCAACCAAAGGAGGAUGGGUUCCCCUUUUGAGUCUUGGUUCCUCCCAAGGUUUCUUCCUUUUGCCGUUAGGGAGUUUUUCCUUGCCACUGUCGCCCUCGGCUUGCUCAUUUGGGGAUCAGACCUGGAUUUUCUCUGAAGCUGCUUUGUGACGCUCAUAAAAAGUGCUCUAGAAAUAAAUCUUGAAUUGAAUUAAAUGAUCUGUCAACAUGUCCUCCAGGUAAAUAAAGACAGAAGUAAUAUUACUUGGCAAUGAGGAGGAAAGACUGAAAGUCAGUGAGCACUUCAGAGCUCCAAUGACUAAAGACCAAGUCAGAAACCUGGGUAUACUAACGGAUCCAAAUCAAACCUGAAAUUUUAGUCCAAAUCUGAAUUUUGGCUAAAAACCUUCUGUCCAAGCUCAAUGUGACCUGAACCACCUAAGUUUACAGUCUGAAAUUGAUCCCACUCCAGUCCUAAAACUCUUUCUUUAAAUAGAAUGUAUUCAGCACAAAGCAGAAACAGGUUUGGCCAAAAAAUUCCUAAUUCCUUUUAUUUUUUUAUUUCCCCCUUAUUUUAUUGUACUGUUUUUAUUUUGCUUUUAUUUAUGUAAAGCACUUUGACCUGCCCUUCGUAAAAUAAACUUGUAAUAAACAAA